UCCGAUAUGGUGUAGUGGCCAACAUGAUGCCCUCUCAUCUCCAAUGAAAGGUUAGGCAUAGCCCCGAGUUCGAUUCUCGGUUUCGGAA